rnacentral:rRNA from 1 species
UACGUAGGGUGCGAGCGUUGUCCGGAAUUAUUGGGCGUAAAGAGCUCGUAGGCGGUUUGUCGCGUCUGCUGUGAAAACUGGAGGCUCAACCUCCAGCCUGCAGUGGGUACGGGCAAACUAGAGUGCGGUAGGGGAGAUUGGAAUUCCUGGUGUAGCGGUGGAAUGCGCAGAUAUCAGGAGGAACACCGAUGGCGAAGGCAGAUCUCUGGGCCGUAACUGACGCUGAGGAGCGAAAGCAUGGGGAGCGAACAGG